rnacentral:rRNA from 1 species
AUUGAACGCUGGCGGCAUGCUUUACACAUGCAAGUCGAACGGCAGCGCGGGCUUCGGCCUGGCGGCGAGUGGCGAACGGGUGAGUAAUACAUCGGAACGUGCCCAGUAGUGGGGGAUAGCUCGGCGAAAGCCGGAUUAAUACCGCAUACGACCUGAGGGUGAAAGCGGGGGAUCUUCGGACCUCGCGCUAUUGGAGCGGCCGAUGGCAGAUUAGCUAGUUGGUGGGGUAAAGGCCUACCAAGGCGACGAUCUGUAGCUGGUCUGAGAGGACUACCAGCCACACUGGGACUGAGACACGGCCCAGACUCCUACGGGAGGCAGCAGUGGGGAAUUUUGGACAAUGGGCGAAAGCCUGAUCCAGCAAUGCCGCGUGUGUGAUGAAGGCCUUCGGGUUGUAAAGCACUUUUGGCGGGAACGAAAAGGACUGUGCCAAUACCACGGUUCGAUGACGGUACCCGCAGAAUAAGCACCGGCUAACUACGUG